rnacentral:tRNA from 1 species
UGGGCAGUAGCUCAGUGGUAGAGCUCCCGCUUCGUAUGCGUAGUGAUCUGGGUUUGAUUCCUAGCCGAUUAC